rnacentral:rRNA from 1 species
UACAGAGGUCCCAAGCGUUGUUCGGAUUCACUGGGCGUAAAGGGUGCGUAGGCGGUCGGGUAAGUCUGAUGUGAAAUCUCACAGCUUAACUGUGAAACUGCAUUGGAUACUAUCCGGCUCGAGGAAUGGAGGGGAGACUGGAAUACUUGGUGUAGCAGUGAAAUGACGUAGAUAUCAAGUGGAACACCAGUGGCGAAGGCGAGUCUCUGGACAUUUCCUGACGCUGAGGCACGAAAGCCAGGGGAGCAAACGGG